rnacentral:lncRNA from 1 species
CUGCCCCUGCCCAGAGGAAGAGAGUAACAUGAAUACAAGUCGAAGCAUGGGCUGCGUUUCCAUCUUUCCCCUGCACAUGUAGACUCCUUAACAGAAAUAUGCCCUCAAGGAAUGACCAAAAGGGGAGGAGAAUGAUCCACAGACGACAGCAGCAUGCAGACCAGGAUUCCUAGAGGAAGCAAGGCCCUAAAGAUCAAACCCUGCAUAGAUGUUAGCUACCAUGAUAACGUCAUUGAUGGAAGACAGGAAAGAGAAUGGAAAGAAAUGAAGACCUGGAAAGAAGGGUCCCACUUAAGGAAAGCCAGAGAUUCCACAAGGCUUAUUGGACACGUGUACUCAGAAGAGCACUGGAAAUCCUUAGACCUGUUCUUCAGACCUUAAAGCAAGUCUCCCAGUACAACACAAGUGAAGAUAAUUCAUAAAAGCACUGUUUUCAGAGUUUGAGGGACAAGGAGAAAAAGCAUUGAGGGCAUGGUACUAAAUCUUGCCAAGAGCUUUCAAACUCAUUACCAAGUCUCAUCAUCAGAAAAACAUUUGACAGAGUCCAGCAGAUGGGGUGUCCUACAGAAUGCCCGACAGCGCUCUUCCCAGCUACCAAGGUCAUCAAAACAGAGGGCUGAGAAGCUGUCACAGCCCAGAGGUGCCUCAGGGGACAUGACACAUGCAAUGUGAGCAUUGGGUGGGAUCUCGGACAGAACAAAGGAAAUCAGAG